rnacentral:misc_RNA from 1 species
AUAUUUUCUAUCAUUAAAAUGAAGCUGUUUGAAUAUGCAUUAUCUGUUCAUAAAAGUUUGAAAUGACUAAUUCCAAAGUUAAUAAUAUUCAAUUAUCCUUAUAUGCUGCCUUUGCAUAGACGUUAGAUUAUCAUGAUUUUUGACAUUUUUUGUAACUUGUAUUAUGGCGUGGCCUUGACUUCAACCUUCCCUUCGGUUUAUGCAGGGAUCAUCAUA